GUGCUCACUGGGGCAGCACAUGUACCAAAAUUGGAACAAUACAGAGAUUAGCAUGGCCCCUGUGCCAGGACGACACACACAUUUGUGAAGUGUUCCAUAUUUAA
rnacentral:snRNA from 1 species